UCACCUCCCCCUCGUCACCUUUUAUAACCCGUGACACGUACAAAUAAUAAUAAUAUUAUAAUACAGGACAACACAUGAUCCCAACUCAAUACAAGUGUAUGCGAGGCUGCAUCUAUCGUAACUGGGUAUUUACGACACUGAAGUAAACGUUAAAUACCUAAAAACCUGAAGGGGGCACUAAAAGGGAAAAACUACAUAGUGGGGAUUUAAGAAAAUCACUAUUGCAUUGAUAAGAUCAUCAGAAAUAAAUGAGACAUGGUUAAAUACUUAAAAACCGGAGGGUUGAAUAAAUAAGUUCAUUCAGCUACGUUGUUGUUGUUCAUGUUGUUAGCAGGGUUGUUGUUCAUGAUAAGGUUGAAGAAGUUUUCUCUGCCAGUCUUGACCCUAUAUGAGUGAACACUGAGUGUUGUAUGAGUUCACAGUCUGUGACAUCACAGUCGAGGGUUACGCAGGUGUGUGUGUGUGUGUGUCUGUCGAUAUAUAAAAAAUUAACUGAA